rnacentral:rRNA from 1 species
CGGAUAGGCAACAGAGAUGGUGGCAUGUGGCUUCGCAUCAUUCAGCAGAAAUACCUCCGAGGCCAGCCUCUCGCCUUCUGCCAGCGAUCUGGGGGCUCCCAGUUCUGGCAAUCCAUCAUUCAGCUCCUCCCUGUCCUCCAGAUCGGGACCUUGAUCGAGAUUGGUUCCGGCACCGCCACGCUGUUCUGGUUCGAUCGCUGGACUGGUGACAUGCCCCUUGCGGCCCGCUUUCUAGACCUGUUCUCCAUCGCGGUUGCCCAACAGAUCUCCAUGGCGACCGCCCUUGUUGACUUAGGGCGGCUUGCGUUCCGGAGACCUUUUGGUCCGGCUGAGAAUGCGGACUGGCAGGAGUUGCUUGACUGCAUUGCACUCCAUGAGCCUGAUCUCACGACAGACGAUGACCGCGCCAGAUGGCGCCUCGAGCCGUCUGGUCAAUUCUCCACCAAAUCACUCUACCUGGCCAUCGCCCCCUCGCUCGGCCAUGAGGUGCUCUGCUCCAUAUGGGAGAUUCGCCUUCCCCUGAAAAUUAGGAUCUUCUUGUGGCAAUGGAUUCAUGGCCGCCUUCCAUCUGACGUAGAGGUUCUAAAGCGCAAUGGCCCUGGUGAUGGGCAUUGCCCGCUCUGUGGGCCUGAAGAAGAUUCGAAUCAUAUCUUCUUCACCCGCGUGUCUGCGCAGUUCCUAUGGAGCUGUUUUCACGAGAUUGUGGGUGGAAGCUGGGACCAUAACAACUUCCCCGCUCUCUUUGCCGAACUCCAGGCGACCCCCUCCCUUGUUGUGCCACAUUAG